rnacentral:rRNA from 1 species
GAGAACCUACGGGAGGCAGCAGUCGGGAAUAUUGCGCAAUGGAGGAAACUCUGACGCAGUGACGCCGCGUAUAGGAAGAAGUUUUUCGGAAUGUAAACUAUUGUCGUUAGGGAAGAGAAAGGACAGUACCUAAGGAGGAAGCUCCGGCUAACUACGUGCCAGCAGCCGCGGUAAUACGUAGGGAGCGAGCGUUAUCCGGAUUUAUUGGGUGUAAAGGGUGCGUAGACGGGAAAACAAGUUAGUUGUGAAAUCCCUCGGCUUAACUGAGGAAAUGCAAUUAAAAUUAUUUUUAUUGAGUGUAGGAG